rnacentral:rRNA from 1 species
UGGGGAAUUUUGGACAAUGGGCGCAAGCCUGAUCCAGCCAUGCCGCGUGAGUGAAGAAGGCCUUCGGGUUGUAAAGCUCUUUCGGCCGGGAAGAAAUCGCAUGGGCUAAUACCCUGUGUGGAUGACGGUACCGGAAUAAGAAGCACCGGCUUACUACGUG